AUAAAAUCAGGAAAACUGAGGCAUUUGGGAUUUCAGAUAACAUCACAAUAACCUUCCUGUUAGUUUGCAUUUUAAAACAUAACGAAGGUUUGGGGCCCUUAUGCACCAGGUGUUGGAGUCCUUGCAUGCCUUGGAAGUUGAACUAAAAGCAGUACAAAUUAAAUUAAUUUAAAAAAAAAAAAAAAAAAAAAGGCCCAAUUAAAGAUUUCUCAUUAGAUGCUCACACUUUGAGUGUGUGGCUAUUGGCUCACCAGGUGAAGCCUUCAAGUCUUCAGAUCAGGACACAGAACAGGGCUCUGUCCCCAGCAGUGGAAGGCAAACGUGCUCACUGGAAAGAAGACAACGGAUGGGGAGGAGAGCCAGCCGGCCAGAGAGGUGACGGGCUUUAGAAGGGUGAAAGUCUCCGUAGCUUGGUGCAGGAGCCCUGGCAGCGAUCUCGUCUGCAGCUGUAGGAGGAGGCAGGUGGCAGGAGUUCCUCUGAAACACGACACGCGUGGGCACAGAACCACGUCCAAGCUCCAUGUGAUUAUUG
rnacentral:lncRNA from 1 species